AAAGAACCCCGGCGAGGGGAGUGAAAAAGAACCUGAAACCGUGUACGUACAAGCAGUGGGAGCCUCUUAAUGGGGUGACUGCGUACCUUUUGUAUAAUGGGUCAGCGACUUAUAUUCUGUAGCAAGGUUAACCGAAUAGGGGAGCCGAAGGGAAACCGAGUCUUAACUGGGCGUUAAGUUGCAGGGUAUAGACCCGAAACCCGGUGAUCUAGCCAUGGGCAGGUUGAAGGUUGGGUAACACUAACUGGAGGACCGAACCGACUAAUGUUGAAAAAUUAGCGGAUGACUUGUGGCUGGGGGUGAAAGGCCAAUCAAACCGGGAGAUAGCUGGUUCUCCCCGAAAGCUAUUUAGGUAGCGCCUCGUGAAUUCAUCUCCGGGGGUAGAGCACUGUUUCGGCAAGGGGGUCAUCCCGACUUACCAACCCGAUGCAAACUGCGAAUACCGGAGAAUGUUAUCACGGGAGACACACGGCGGGUGCUAACGUCCGUCGUGAAGAGGGAAACAACCCAGACCGCCAGCUAAGGUCCCAAAGUCAUGGUUAAGUGGGAAACGAUGUGGGAAGGCCCAGACAGCCAGGAUGUUGGCUUAGAAGCAGCCAUCAUUUAAAGAAAGCGUAAUAGCUCACUGGUCGAGUCGGCCUGCGCGGAAGAUGUAACGGGGCUAAACCAUGCACCGAAGCUGCGGCAGCGACACUAUGUGUUGUUGGGUAGGGGAGCGUUCUGUAAGCCUGUGAAGGUGGCCUGUGAGGGUUGCUGGAGGUAUCAGAAGUGCGAAUGCUGACAUAAGUAACGAUAAAGCGGGUGAAAAGCCCGCUCGCCGGAAGACCAAGGGUUCCUGUCCAACGUUAAUCGGGGCAGGGUGAGUCGACCCCUAAGGCGAGGCCGAAAGGCGUAGUCGAUGGGAAACAGGUUAAUAUUCCUGUACUUGGUGUUACUGCGAAGGGGGGACGGAGAAGGCUAUGUUGGCCGGGCGACGGUUGUC
rnacentral:rRNA from 1 species